GCCUGGAUAGUUUAGUUGGUUAGAGCGUGGUGCUGAUUAUGCCAAGGUUGCAGGUUCAAUCCCUGCGUAGUCCUGCAUUGCA